GGCCAGACUCCUACGGGAGGCAGCAGUGGGGAAUAUUGCACAAUGGGGGAAACCCUGAUGCAGCGACGCCGCGUGAGUGAAGAAGUAUUUCGGUAUGUAAAGCUCUAUCAGCAGGGAAGAAAAUGACGGUACCUGACUAAGAAGCCCCGGCUAACUACGUGCCAGCAGCCGCGGUAAUACGUAGGGGGCAAGCGUUAUCCGGAUUUACUGGGUGUAAAGGGAGCGUAGACGGCAUGGCAAGUCAGAUGUGAAAGCCCGGGGCUCAACCCCGGGACUGCAUUUGAAACUGUCGGGCUGGAGUGCAGGAGAGGUAAGUGGAAUUCCUAGUGUAGCGGUGAAAUGCGUAGAUAUUAGGAGGAACACCAGUGGCGAAGGCGGCUUACUGGACUGUAACUGACGUUGAGGCUCGAAAGCGUGGGGAGCAAACAGGAUUAGAUACCCCCGUAC
rnacentral:rRNA from 1 species